rnacentral:ncRNA from 2 species
UUCUUAUCUAGAGAGGUGGAGGGACUGGCCCUACGAUACCUCGGCAGCGGGACUGAUGAUGAAUCAUCAGGAACUGUGCCAAUUCCAGCAGGUGCUUUAUGCACUUGAAAGAUGAGAA